rnacentral:rRNA from 1 species
GCGAACGCUGGCGGCAGGCCUAACACAUGCAAGUCGAACGAACUCUUCGGAGUUAGUGGCGGACGGGUGAGUAACACGUGGGAACGUGCCUUUUGGUUCGGAAUAACUCAGGGAAACUUGUGCUAAUACCGAAUGUGCCCUUCGGGGGAAAGAUUUAUCGCCAUUAGAGCGGCCCGCGUCUGAUUAGCUAGUUGGUGAGGUAACGGCUCGCCAAGGCGACGAUCAGUAGCUGGUCUGAGAGGAUGACCAGCCACACUGGGACUGAGACACGGCCCAGACUCCUACGGGAGGCAGCAGUGGGGAAUCUUGCGCAAUGGGCGAAAGCCUGACGCAGCCAUGCCGCGUGAAUGAUGAAGGUCUUAGGAUUGUAAAAUUCUUUCACCGGGGACGAUAAUGACGGUACCCGGAGAAGAAGCCCCGGCUAACUUCGUG